rnacentral:tRNA from 1 species
AUUUACGAAGUUUAAUAAAAAUAUUGACUUGUGGCGUCAAAGAUGUGAGUAUCACCGUAAAUA